rnacentral:ncRNA from 1 species
UAAGUAUUUUGUUAUGGUCCUGUCCUAUAAAGUUUAACUUGUACUCACAUGGAAGUUUUGAUUAUUUAGUUAAUAUAAUAAUCCGCGGAUUACCAGGGGAUAAUAUUGUACAAUCAUGGAAACAUGAAUACAGCUUGUUAAGUUUAUAUACUAAACCUAAAGAAGUGGCCAAAAUAAGUGCCAGCAGCCGCGGUCACACUUUUACUCAAAUAUAGAACCAAGCAGAGAAUAAAUUGAAGUAAUAUUUAAGAUCCCUAGACUUUACUUGUUCACGGGGGCCCGAUCAGUAAAAUGAUAUGUCCAGCCAUUACGUCUGACUCAAGUUAAUCUUAAAUAAUUUCACUUAGCUGUUACAAACUCUCAAAGAAAACUAGGAUUAGAUACCCUAUUAUUAAGAGCUAGACUAAACUAAUCUCUUAGUAAUAAUACUCUAUAAAGUAUAAACUAAAACAACAUGGCGGUAAAAAACAACUCUCAGGGGAACUUACAGAAUAAAUGAUAAUCACCAAGAUUACCUGUCCUUUAGGCCCACAGCCUGUAUGCCGUCGUCUUCAGGUUUUUUUUUACUAGAAGACCUCGAUCUUUUGCAGGUUUAAUUACCUUUAACCGUAAAAGAAAAAGUCAGAUCAAGGUGCAGCCAAUAUAAAGGGUCAUGCGAGUUACACUUACCUAUUACUAACUUUGGAUGUUAAACAUGAACAAGUUUACUAAAACUGGACUUGAAAGUAAUUAGAUAAGUAAUUUUUAUUUUAUGAAUUGCUACCUGCUUUUUGCGUACAAAUCGCCCGUCACUCUCGUGAUCUACAUGAGAUAAGUCGUAACAUAGUAGGAGUAGGGGAACCUGCUCCUACCCAUAA